rnacentral:rRNA from 1 species
AGAGUUUGAUCAUGGCUCAGAACGAACGCUGGCGGCGUGCCUAACACAUGCAAGUCGAGCGCGAAUGGAGCAAUCCUAGUAGAGCGGCGCACGGGUGCGUAACACGUGGGUAAUCUGCCUAGAAGAUGAGGAUAACCAGUCGAAAGACUGGCUAAUACUCGAUAAGCCCACGGGGACUUCGGUCCCUGAGGGAAAAGGUGGCCUCUGUAUACAAGCUAUCACUUCUAGAUGAGCCCGCGGCCCAUCAGCUAGUUGGCGGGGUAAUGGCCCACCAAGGCGACGACGGGUAGCUGGUCUGAGAGGACGAUCAGCCACACUGGAACUGAGACACGGUCCAGACUCCUACGGAAGGCAGCAGUGGGGAAUUUUGCGCAAUGGGCGAAAGCCUGACGCAGCAACGCCGCGUGUGUGAUGAAGGUCUUCGGAUUGUAAAGCACUUUCGACCGGGACGAAAACCCUCUGGCUAACAUCCAGGGGCUUGACGGUACCGGAGAAGAAGCACCGGCUAACUCUGUGCCAGCAGCCGCGGUA